AGAACGAACGCUGGCGGCGCGUUUAAGCAUGCAAGUCGAGCGGACAAGGGACCUCGGGCCCCUAGAGCGGCGGACGGGUGAGUAACACGUGGACAACCUGCCCCCCGGCCCGGGAUAGCCCAGGGAAACCUGGAUUAAUACCGGAUGAGACGGGACCCGCGAUGGCGGGAUCCGGGAAAGGCGCUGCGGCGCCGCCGGGGGAUGAGUCUGCGUCCCAUUAGCUAGACGGCGGGGUAACGGCCCACCGUGGCGACGAUGGGUAGCCGGCCUGAGAGGGUGGACGGCCACAUUGGAACUGAGACACGGUCCAGACUCCUACGGGAGGCAGCAGCUAAGAAUCUUCCGACAAUGGGCGAAAGCCUGACGGGAAGCGACGCCGCGUGAACGAAGAAGGCCGUGAGGUUGUAAAGUUCUUUUCGGGAGGGGGAACAACCGUGGCAGGGAAUGGCCGCGGGAUGACGUGAAUCCCGGAAUAAGCCCCGGCUAACUACGUGCCAGCCGCCGC
rnacentral:rRNA from 1 species